AGGGACACCCUGUACAUAAUAUUGUAGGACCUUAACCUUAAAGCUUGUGUCCGGAGUUUGAAUCGCAGCAUCUCCCAAAACACUGUUGGUCCCACCCUCCCUCUGAUUUCGCGAGAUACCUAGUGACGCCCCUUUAUUUGUGCACGCUUGUGAUUACACUCGUGUAUCCCUCUCGAUGACGUUGUUUAUCAAACUUAGUGCAUUUACGCGUGUAUAUGUGUUACAUUGUUUAUUUAUUUCUAUCUAGAGUUCAGAAUUGCAUGACUCCUCUGACGAAGAGUAUGUCCCAGACGCCCCAACAUCUUCCUCCAGAGGUCGGGCAUCUAAACGAAGCCGUCAGGUGGGCUAUGGAGGCCGUGGUCGGGGAGCGACGCGAGCACCCCGAGCCAAAAAACGUCCUGCCGUCUCUUGGCCUGACAAGCCGUGGGAUUGGUAACUUUUCUGGAAGUUGCUGAUCCCUGAUGCUCUCU